AGUGAACGCUGGCGGCAGGCCUAACACAUGCAAGUCGAGCGGCAGCGGGUUCCCGCGAGGGGAUGCCGGCGAGCGGCGGACGGGUGAGGAACACAUCGGAAUCUGCCUGGUUGUGGGGAUAACGUAGGGAAACUUACGCUAAUACCGCAUGAGACCCUGAGUCGACGGACUGGGGGUGAAAGUGAGGGACCUUCGGGCCUCACGCGACCAGAUGAGCCGAUGUCGGAUUAGCUAGUUGGCGGGGUAACGGCCCGCCAAGGCGACGAUCCGUAGCUGGUCUGAGAGGAUGAUCAGCCACACUGGGACUGAGACACGGCCCAGACUCCUACGGGAGGCAGCAGUGGGGAAUCUUGGACAAUGGGCGCAAGCCUGAUCCAGCCAUG
rnacentral:rRNA from 1 species